rnacentral:misc_RNA from 1 species
AAGUCGUAACAAGGUUUCCGUAGGUGAACCUGCGGAAGGAUCAUUAUCAAUUUCAUGUAUUCUUUUUAAUUAAGAGUAUUUUGUUUUUGUGCACUGUUUUUUUUUUCUUCUUAAUUCUUAAGAGAGAGAUUUAUUGUUAUUGAGCUUUAAAACUUGAUAAUAGUAAAAUAAGCUUAACAUUAAGCUUAUUAACGUUACUUCAUAGCUUAAAUUUAAUUAGCUUGGCAUUUAUUUGUCAAGCGAAUUAUAUAAGGGUAAGGCUGAUUUAAGCGAAACGUAGUGUUAUUUCACUUGAGAAAA